rnacentral:rRNA from 1 species
GACGUACUUGUACUGAUUGAGAUUUUAACACGAAGUGAGUGGCGAACGGGUGAGUAACACGUGGGUAACCUGCCCAGAAGUAGGGGAUAACACCUGGAAACAGAUGCUAAUACCGUAUAACAGAGAAAACCGCAUGGUUUUCUUUUAAAAGAUGGCUCUGCUAUCACUUCUGGAUGGACCCGCGGCGUAUUAGCUAGUUGGUGAGGUAAAGGCUCACCAAGGCAGUGAUACGUAGCCGACCUGAGAGGGUAAUCGGCCACAUUGGGACUGAGACACGGCCCAGACUCCUACGGGAGGCAGCAGUAGGGAAUCUUCCACAAUGGACGCAAGUCUGAUGGAGCAACGCCGCGUGAGUGAAGAAGGGUUUCGGCUCGUAAAGCUCUGUUGUUAAAGAAGAACGUGGGUAAGAGUAACUGUUUACCCAGUGACGGUAUUUAACCAGAAAGCCACGGCUAACUACGUGCCAGCAGCCGCGGUAAUACGUAGGUGGCAAGCGUUAUCCGGAUUUAUUGGGCGUAAAGCGAGCGCAGGCGGUCUUUUAAGUCUAAUGUGAAAGCCUUCGGCUCAACCGAAGAAGUGCAUUGGAAACUGGGAGACUUGAGUGCAGAAGAGGACAGUGGAACUCCAUGUGUAGCGGUGAAAUGCGUAGAUAUAU